rnacentral:rRNA from 1 species
GACGAACGCUGGCGGCGUGCCUAAUACAUGCAAGUCGAACGCAGUGGGGACGGGUGAGUAACACGUGGGUAACCUCCCAUCAGAGGGGAUAACACUUGGAAACAGGUGCUAAACCGAUACUGAUGGAUGGACCCGCGGUGCAUUAGCUAGUUGGUGAGGUAACGGCUCACCUAGGCGACGAUCUCUACAUGGUCUGGGAGGAGGAUCGGCAAAACUGGGACUGAGAGACGGCCCAGACUCCUACGGGAGGCAGCAGUGGGGAAUAUUGCACAAUGGGCGCAAGCCGGAUGCAGCCAUGCCGCGUGUAUGAAGAAGGCCUUAGGGUUGUAAAGUACUUUCAGCGGGGAGGCGUUACCCGCAGAAGAAGCACCGGCUAACUCCGUGCCAGCAGCCGCGGUAAUAC